UCCAGGAAACCUGAGGAGAGGCAACAAAAACCAAUUAAAGUUAAUGAACUACAGCUAAGCUUUUUUAUUUUAGUUUUUUUUUCCCCUCAGUAUACCAGCCUCAACUUGGAAUUAUUUUUCUUGGAGAGACACUGUAACUAGAUUAUUUCCUCACUACCCCCACCAUAAAAAAAAAAAGUAUCUUUUUAGUCAACAAAAGCGUGAGGGUAUGUUUUGUGCGUGUUUCUAGUGGGUUUGUCGCUUGGCCUUCAGCCUUGGUCCCACCACCCACUGAAAUCUGGCAAACGCCCAGGAUGUCACAAAUUCUGUUCUCCUAUAUCUUCACAUAAGCUGAGAGUCGGCCCCACUGAAUAGUUAUCUGGAGGCAGGAGGCGGAGGUCCAAUUGUAGUAUCUAAUAUUAGAAAUAGAGACGCCUCCAAUGGUUUUUGGCAGACUUAGCCUAGAAAGAGCGGCUCUGGCUCUCCCACUCAAACGUCUUAAAUAGUUUAUAUAUCUGCUUGAUUAAUUUGGCUAGAGACAUGGUUGCAGUUAAUGUCUUAGGUAUAAAAGUUCAGGGAAAGAUUCUUAUCUCAAUUAUACCCAUUCUCUAGAACAACUCAUUCUGUCAAGCCAGCUCUGAUAAAUGUUAAUGAUAACGAAACAUUAUCUUAUAGUUAUUUAAUUUCUGUUGCCCGUAGGAUGUCCACAAAGCUGAAUGUGAAGGAGAUGUACUUCAUCAGCAUGUUCUCUUCAUUCAGUAUUUUGGCGAAGCUUCACGUUCAAAUACAUAAUUCCAUUCUAAAAUGCAAAGAAUGAUAUAAAAUGAUUUAAAUUAAUCCAAGAGAUAUUUUAAAUCUGAGUUUCUGACAUUCAGGUUUCCCGUUUGAAAUAUAUCUUCAAAUAUUCUGUGUACAUAACAACAUCUUCCUGAACCUCCCCACCGUCUCAGGCUGAGAUCAUAAAACUUUGAGUACUUCCCAGAUCCUCAUUUUGUCCUGCUCAUUCCUUUUUUUAUUAUUUUUUUUCAUUAGUAACUGACACAGAGCAGCUCUUUUUCUCCCAGAGAAAUCAAGGAUUGUGAAGACAAGAAUGUCCUCACUGAAGAGAUUGGAGAAUGCUAACUUGUCACUGUCUCCCAAGUUUCUUUUCCACUUCUCAUGAAGGAUUCUUUUGGAUACUUCUUGCUCAUUGUCUCUUGUGGCAGUCUCUCUUUGUUUGGAAACCCUUAUUGUCAGAAAGGUCAAGGUAAGCAGACACUCUGGUUUUGAUCUCAGCUCAUUUGGUGGUUCUUUCCUUCACUGAUUCCUUCAUCAUUUAAAACACUCGAUAAUCACUUGUUGGAAUUCCACUGUUCACAGAGUUGACACUCACUGAAAGCUUGAGAGCAUCAAAAUCAAUUCUGGGAUAUUAAUCAGUAGGUAGAGAAGACGCUGCAUUUUUCCAAGUGUUGCCCUUCUUCAGCGUGUGCUGCCUGAACCAUUUGAAGUCAAGAUGUAACACAAUCAGGAUUCUCACUGCUAAUGACUACUGCCAAGAUGUAUAAAUGGAACGGUUCAGCUAGGAGAAGAAUCUGAGGUUUAAAAUGCCUCUUGCUCUACGACAACUUUUCUUUGAUUUCGUGAUUGAGUUGGGACAGAAGCUACAAGGGAAAACGGACCCCUCAGCCAGCGUAGAUCACAGAGAGCAGCUGCUUCUUAGAGUCCUUUAUCUUAAGGCUCAAGAUCCAGAAAUUUAAAUUAUUUGGGAAGAAGAGUUAAAACUGAUGAAACUGAAUAUUAUGGCAUUCUUAAAAUGAGAUGUUUGGUUUUUAUAACGUAUGGACAUGCAAAGAAAACAGAUUUUGUUUUGGAAUUUGCAGAGAACUGAAGUUAUUGAUGUUGAUACUUGUAAAGGGCACAGUAGUCCCUGUUCAUGUGGCAGCGGUUUGUCCUGGAGAACCCUUUAGACCAGAGGAGAAAGGACAGUUAGUUCCAUGAGAAAUAGUGUGAUGGCACUAUGAUUCUCAGUUUCUUGAUCUCAUAGGACUUCUAUUGGAUUUAAGAGCAUGAAGUGUACUUAACCAAGUGUUUUAUUAUAAUGUAUAUAAAAUACAUAUAAAAUUUUAUAUUUUAAUUGUACUCAAUUGAUUUUUAGAGCUAUUGGGUAGAUAAUUCAUUGAGGAGAAGCAGCACUGGAUAUCGAAAACCCUAGACGAUGACAGCUGCCCUCCUGGGUGCAACACUGUCGUUCUUUUCCAUAAGAGCAUUUGGGAUGUAGGUCAAGGCACAAUUCACCUGAAAGUCACUGACACUCUCGGGCAGUCAGUGCUCCGUGGUCUGAUUCUGGAUAAUAAAAGGAGGUGUUAGUCUGUCUAAAGAAAUCCACAGAAUGCAUGAUUCAUCUUAAGGACUUAUUUUUAUAUCUUUAUCGAUAUAAAAAGUAUGCGACUGUCUUUACAAAAGUUGUCCUAUAUGCAGAAACCAAGAUGGGCAUUGGAGUCUUUCUGGAAUCUUGCUUGAAUCAAUUGAAUAAAAUAUUCAUGAAGAUA